CAGACCGCAGAAAUGCUAUUAACCUAUUAGGACAUCAUGCUGAUGUCAUGAUUGGGCCGGUCCCAAGGAACCGGUUCGCUCUGGUCGGGUUUCCUGAUUAUAUCGCGGGGUCCUUACUCUCAACAAUUCCCUGCCAUCUCCGUCUUUCUCUCUCUGCUAUUCAGAAGCGCAUUCCACUUUCGCCGGCGACAUCUCUGUUAAACUGCCGGCGAGUACGGACGGCGCUCAGAAGAUUUAAGUCACUGUCAAUGGCCAGCAAUUCAGCAUCCGAAACAAGCAGUAACGAUUCUUCGGCCUUGAAAGAACCAGAGAAGCCUCAAAGUCAGACAUUAAGAUUGCCUACAGCUGAGGAGAUUCAGGGUCAGGAAAUUUGGAACAAUUGUGCUGUUCGCAGUGUUUUCAGUGGAGUCGUGGGAGGUGGCUUUGGGAUCUUUAUGGGCCUGCUUCUGGGAGCAAUGGACAAUCCCAUAAUGCAGGACCAAAUGACUGGAAAGCAACAGUUCAUUCACACUGCAAAGCAGAUGGGGCAAAGAAGUUGGCACUCAGCUAAAGCAUUUGCGGUCAUGGGCUUAGUUUUUUCAGCUGCUGAGUGUGUUGUAGAGAAGGCAAGGGCAAAGCAUGAUACCACAAAUACAGUUAUUGCUGGCUGUGUUACUGGUGGCACUAUGUCAGCUAGAGGCGGUCCUAAAGCAGCAUGCGCUGGUUGUGCUGGCUUUGCAGCAUUUUCUGUUGUCAUUGAGAAGAUUUUAGAGAGUCAUAGCUGAAUUGACAUCAUUCUGCUUCAUUUAUUUCCAGUCCUGGACUGGAGAAAAAGAGGGAGAUUGAAGAGAGAUCUCUGAACUGUACCACAUCUCUGAAAUGUUGUAUUGACCUGAUUCACAUCAAUCCAUUUGGUGGCGAGUAUGGGUAGAUUGGCAUAAGCACACUGUAUGCUUAGCAAUCAGAUAAGUUACACAAAGGAGCUUUUUCUAU